CCCAUCAGUGUGCUGUUGGGAGACCCAUCUCACGUGCAGAGAAACACAUAGGCUCAAAAUAAAAGGAUGGAGGAAGAUCUACCAAGCAAAUGGAAAGCAAAAAAAAGCAGGGGUUGCAAUGCUAGUCUCUCAUAAAACAGACUUUAAACCAACAAAGAUCAAGGAGACAAAGAAGGGCAUUACAUAACGGUAAACGGAUCAAUUCAACAAAAACAGCUAACUAUCCUAAAUAUAUAUGGACCCAACACAGGAGCAUCCAAAUUCAUAAAGCAAGUCCUUAGAGACCUACAAAGAGACUUAGACUCCAAAAAUACAAAAAUUAGCCGGGCAUGGUGGCUCACGCCUGUAAUCCCAGCACUUUGGGAGGCCGAGGAGGGCGAUGACAAGGUCAGGAGAUCGGGACCAUCCUGGCUAACACAGUGAAACCCCGUCUCUACAAAAAAUACAAAAAAUUAGCUGGGUGUGGUGGCAUGUGCCUUUAGUCUCAUAUACUCAGGAGGCUGAGGCAGGAGAAUUGCUUGAACCCGGGAGGCAGAGGUUGCAGUGAGCCAAGAUCAUGCCACUGCACUCUAGCC
rnacentral:lncRNA from 1 species